AGACGAGCACACCAUGCAACAAAUGUGAGCGCCUCGCCAGCAAUCUGGAUCCAAAGUCAGCAUUUGCAACGAGGAACAAGUUGCCAGCGUUGUUUAGUGCUCGGCUACACUCGCAGAGAUCUUGAGCAAAGCUGAACAAGAGUAACCUUUACCUUAAUGUCAAGAGAAUCCCAGAUGCUCAAAAACUGCUAAUCAGCAUGUGAGAGCCACCACCUCCUGUGGCGUGGGAACAUGCACACGCGAAGGCACUUGAGGCUGAGGGGGGGGCCACGCGUCCCUGCCGUCGUAAGCCCCGAGACAGGGGAGGUGCCGGGGUCGUGUGUGGAUGCAUGUGCCGCAGAGAAUCAAAGAUGUCCCCCAGGUCUUCUUACAGAUGUGUACAUGUCAUGUCCCCCACCUUCAUGAAUAUCAAGGUGCCAGAUAAAGCAAAUUCCUGUUCCUUUUAUGUAAUACUUUGUUGCAGUAUUUCACCAUUAUCCUUUUUUGAGUUAGUUACAUUGCACCUUUUUUUUUUUUUUAUUGUUUUUACACUUUUCACACACUUAAAUUGAUAAAUUAAAAAAAAAAAAAGACAGCUACUACAAACACACAUCACAAGAGAGUGAAGAAGAUAUCUCUGGGGAUGGAAGAUGCCGAGCUGAGGCGAUGCAGGAGCUCGUUCAGAAGAAAAACUCCUCCAGCCACGUGCUUCGAAGCACUUAGAGGGGCUCCUUCACACCAUCAGUCACCUGACUGCACUUCAGCACCCAGCACCUUCUACUCCAGUCCAGACACCACGGAUAAUUGCACAAAUGCAGCAGUCUGUAUGGGUGUAUAUACUCUGUAUGGAACUGUCUUCACAUUAACAUGAAAGCACACGGAUCCAUCUACAGUACAUAGUAUUUCAAUCUAUUGUAUCUUAUUCAUUCGAGUGUAUUUUUAUUUUAUUCUGUUUUGUUUUCUUUGAGUCAAUUCUUUCCCCGUGCUGCUACUUUUUGUGUUGUUUGCACACUGUUCUCCUGUGUUAAAGUGUCAAAUUGAGGUUCUCCAGUUGGGGAUCGUUAAAGGUACACCUGAGCUUGUCUUAUUUUAUUGUUUGAACCUGUGAGCAUCAACUGAUUACUCAAGGGACCUUAAGGUGCACUAUGUAGUUCUGGGGAAUGAAUGUUGAUUUUAUUUUGAAAAGUAAAUAUGUAAAUAAACUAAAUAGACACAUUUUCUUCAUUUUCGUGAAUGAA